ACAGGCAUCAGAGAAGACCAGUAGUUAUCCUGAAGGUUUCAGAUUUGUUUUUUAACAAUGAGGCUGGUGGUUUUUAGUUGUGUUGGAUUGUUGUUGCUUAUUGCAGUUGACUUGAGUUUGGCACAGUGGUCAAGAUUUCAACAAGGCCAGGAUCCACUAAGAUUCCAACAGCAACAGUCGCCAGUUUUAGCUCCUCAGCAAUCUGUUCAAGAUCCACAGGCAUCAACAACUUUUCGGCCUCCAAGACCUGCAAUGAGGCCUGCUGGGGUGGAUGCACGGAAGCUUCAAGAACCUGGAAGUAGUCAGUCCAAACAGCUUAUGCAGGCUCCUAUGGCACCUUUGACCUGGCAUUUUCCAGUAAUGCCAGAAGAACCCCAACAGCCAGAUGUGCCUUUUGAGCAGCGUGUACCUAUAGCUCCCCAGAGUGUUGCAGCACAAUGUGGGGAGAACUUCGUGCAUGUGGAGGUGAAGAAGGACUUCUUUGGUAUUGGUCAGCUGGUGAAUCCUUCAUUUCUCACUUUAGGAGGCUGUGCAGCUGUAGGGGAGGAUCCAGAAGCUGAAGUUCUUAUAUUUGAAUAUGAGCUCCAGACAUGUGACAGCUCUCUGAUGAUGACUGAUAAUGAGCUUGUGUAUACAUUCAACCUCCUCUAUACUUCUGUGGCUUUAGUAGGAACUCCCAUUGUAAGGGCUGAUGUAGCAGCUGUUGGAAUUGAGUGCCACUAUUCAAGGUUGUAUAAUGUAAGCAGCAAUAUCUUGUUGCCCGCUUGGGUUCCUUUUGCUGCAACUAAAGUUGCAGAGGAAGUUCUGGUGUUCUCCUUGAGGCUCAUGACUGAUGACUGGAUGUUUGAGAGGCCAUCCAAUCAGUACUUCCUAGGGCAAUUCCUGAAGCUUGAAGCUUCUGUGAAGCAGUACAACCAUGUUCCUCUGCGCAUCUUUGUGGAUGGUUGUGUGGCUACUGCAGCCCCUAAUGUGAACACCACCUCUCCAAGAUAUUCCUUUAUUGAGAACCAUGGGUGCCUGGUAGACGCAAAGCUUACAGGCUCCACUUCCAGUUUCAUGCGUCGUAUUCAGAGUGACAAGCUGCAGUUUCAGUGUACAUCGCCCCUGCUCUAAAGGCUGUUAUGGCCUCAACCCCCACAUGUCCAGAGAACAAGGCUUGCUCCUUCAUAAAUGGAUGACGAUGACCAGGUGUACAUGUGCUGUGACACCACGUGUGGUCUCGGCAGAAAGGGACAAGCACUGUCUGAUUCAGGUCUGGUAUCGGAAGGGAAAGCAACCAUUGGCCCCAUUGUGAUUACUCACUGAUGUAUUGUGAAUGACGAAGUGCCAAUAAAAGUGUUCAUUGGCAA